GUUGAGUGUCGGUGUCAAACAUAAAGACAUCAGGAAGAUAAUAUUGAGGCAGCCUCAGCUUCUUGAGUAUACUGUGGAAAACAAUCUGAAAUCCCAUGUCACAUUCUUAACUAGUUUGGGUAUCCCAGACUCAAGAAUCGGGCAGAUAAUUACUGCAACUCCGUCUCUUUUUUCCUAUAGUGUGGAAAAUUCAUUAAAACCCACUGUGACUUACUUGCUUGAGGAGGUCGGUAUCGAGAAGAAUGACCUGGCUAAAGUUGUGCAGUUAAGCCCUCAAAUUCUGGUGCAGCGGAUUAACACUUCAUGGACAGCCCGCUUCAAUUUUCUCACCAGAGAAUUGGAUGCACCCAGAGAUAGUAUUGUCAAAAUGGUUAGGAAGCAUCCUCAAUUACUUCACUACAGCAUAGAGGAUGGAUUGCUUCCCCGAAUUAACUUUUUUAGGAGCAUCGGAAUGCGCAAUUCAGAGAUAGUGAAAGUGCUAACUAGCAUUACACAGGUCUUCUCUCUAUCACUUGAGGGGAAUCUGAAACCUAAGUACAGCUACUUGGUCAAUGAACUUGGCAAUGAAGUGCGAUCAUUAACUAAAUAUCCUAUGUACCUAAGCUUGUCGCUGGAUCAGAGAAUUAGGCCUCGCCAUAUGUUUUUGGUUUCUCUAAAGAGGGCUCCCAAGGGACCAUUUCCAUUAAGUUCACUGGUCCCUACUGAUGAAUCUUUUUGUCAGCAGUGGGCAAGGACUAGCGUGGACAAAUAUCUUGAUUUUCGGCAGAGAUUGCUUCUAAAGGAACUUGCCAGAAAAUAUGAAAGACGAUAAUAUGUUUGAGCUCACUGGUAGCAGAUCGUCUGCCCUGCAUACUUGUUAUAAGGCUAAUUUUGUGAAAGGAUUUUAUAGCACUUAGUGAAUUUUAAAGAUCAGCGCACAUACGCAGGAACCAGGUCAUUUUCUUCUUUAUACAUUUAAAGCCAUACAAUCUCAGCUGUUGAAGUUGGUACUGUUGCACUACCUUUGAGGUUGUGAAGUCAA
rnacentral:misc_RNA from 1 species